rnacentral:rRNA from 1 species
GAUGAACGGUUUAAUAGAAUAUAUUUUUUUUUGUUUGUUAGUGUAAUUUGUAGUUUAAGUAAAAAUACUUAAAUUGUUUUAAGGGGCGAUAAGACCCUAAAAGCUUUAAAAAUUUAAUUGUUGUUUGCGGUAAAAUAUUAUUAGCUGGGGUAGUUGUUUAAAUAAUAUAAACAUUUUUUACGCAUUAGGGGAGAGAUCCUUUAUAUAAGGAUAUUUAGUUUUAGUUACUUUAGGGAUAACAGUGUAAUAGGUUUUAAUAGCUCUCAUAGAUAAACCUGUUUGCCACCUCGAUGUUGAAUUAGAUAUUUUUAUUGAGCAGAAACAAUAAAAAAAGGUUUGUUCAACCUUUAUAAAUCUACAUGAUUU